UGCUGGUGGGGGAUAAUACUGUUGAAGCUACGAAGGGAGAUGGGUCACAUUGCACAGCUUUGCUAGUCCAUGAGCACAUGAGUGUGUCAUAUGUGUUUUCGGGUUCACGGUGAGGUCCGACCACAGGUGCCCUGUCACUCUCAGGCUUGCAUGAGAUCACUUCUCAGGCACUUAAACUCUUCUCGCACACAUGAAGAUGCACAGAUGUCAGUCAGAGCAGGGUGCGGACAAGCGAGUUCUGGAUGCCUGCUAACCAGACUGGAGGUCAUUUCCAACCGCACACGGACAAAUAACUCACAAUGGGAAGCAACAUGGGGAUCGGCUACUUCAAAGCAACCGAGAAACUGCUACGUUGGGGCUCCAGGGAUUUUUUCCAGAGACAUCUCAGGCCAGGCUAUUUAUAGAGCCCACCAGCUGCUAACAUGGGAUCACACACAUGCAGAGGAUGGGCUGGACUGUGGAAAGGGUGUGUCACAGGCAGCCGACGGCAUGGAAAAAACACAUUCUGCGUGGUGAGGUCUGCAGAGGUGAUAAGACCUGAUAAAGAACUGUGAGACAAGCCACACCGGUGACAACUGACCACACACACACAAACAAACACACACACACACGGAUGUAUACACAUAAAAACCUUGUGUCGAUUGACAGUCAGUGUGCUUCCCUGACCACAUUUUUCUUAAAAGUAGAAAGGCUGUCUAUCUCCUUGAGAAGACCCCAACAAUCAAAUGAUCCCCUAUGAACUGGCACUCGGCGACAGUGGGAAGGAAAAACUCCCUUUUAUUAGGAAGAAACCUCCAGCAGGAUCCAGCUCAGUAAUAUUGCAAUAAAGCGGCUCGACUGUUUGUUGUGAUUUGGCGCUAUAAAAAUAAAAUUGAAUUGUACUGAAUUGUUCCCGCUAACUCACGCACUCUGUGUUUGUGGUUGGCGCUAUCGUGUCAAACCCAGAGAGCUGACACACAUUGUGGCCAGCUGUCACUGUGACGGUCACAAUGUGUGCAAAAACAAACAAGAUGCUCGCAUAAAUGCAAACGUCUGUGGUUGUUGAAAAGUAGAAACGGGCUUACGCUGCAGUUCAGCUUCACUUUGAUUUACAUCAACCACUAGUAAGUAGCACUAUUAAGCCUUACAGUUUGAACCUGUGCUCAUGAGGUCACGCUGUAGUCCCUUUCAACUCUGGUGGCAACUGUCUGAAAAGUGUAAAAGCCAGCGCUGGUGUUUAGUCAGGGGAGGGCGGGCAGUAAAACAACAGAAAACAAACAAGACAUUUGUAUCUGUGGCAGCUUUCAGAGAGGUGACAAGCCCACCAGAGAGAAACACACACACACACACACACACAUUUCCCCCCAUCAGCCCCCACUGAAAGGUAGAUGCUAACACACGCUUUCCUCUCUAACAUUAGAACGCUAUUUUAUACAUCUUUUCAUUUUAGCUUCCCCUCUGAAGAUAAAUCCAUCCUGCUGGCAUUUAUAUUUAUUUCUGACUAAAGAGAAUGGCAAUUGAGAGCUUAAAAUGUCACAACCACAGGGGACGUGCCCUAUUAGAAAAGACGGAAACCUGUAAGGAG